rnacentral:rRNA from 1 species
AGUAGCAAUACUUAGUGGCAGACGGGUGAGUAACAUGUAGGUAUCUGCCCUUUGGCCUGGAAUAACACGAGGAAACUUGUGCUAAUACCGGAUAAGUCUUUACGGAGAAAGCUUUAUGCACCAUUGGAUGAGCCUGCACUUGAUUAGUUUGUUGGUGGGGUAAUGGCCUACCAAGACUGUGAUCAAUAGCUGAUUUGAGAGGAUGAUCAGCCACAUUGGGACUGAGACACGGCCCAAACUCCUACGGGAGGCAGCAGUGGGGAAUCUUGCACAAUGGAGGAAACUCUGAUGCAGCGAUGCCGCGUGAGUGAAGAAGGCCCUUGGGUUGUAAAGCUCUUUCGUCGGGGAAGAAAAUGACUGUACCCGAAUAAGAAGGUCCG